rnacentral:lncRNA from 1 species
CCCGACCUGGGCACUGUGCCCACCACAAGAAGAGGAAAGGCUAGAGUCACUCUACCAGGACCUCGUGUACUGAAUCCAGGAUGGAGGAGGGACAGUUUCUCAGAAGAAAAACAGGUCCUGGGAUGUUGAACUCAGACUUGGCCAUAAGCGACCUCACCAACUGAGCCACCUCCCCGAGGCCUUGGAGGUGGUUUGUGAGAGCAGCUCCAAGAGAAGAGGAAGUACAAGGAUGUCCAGGGUUGACUGGCACACACUGCAGCUUCUGGGGCCACACCCCUACCUCUUGCUGAUGCACAGGGUCCUCCAGACCAUUGCCCUAUCCCCGCCCCUGGGCUCUGGCUCUACCACCUACGGAAUUAGACCCAGAGUGGCAGUUUCACAAAGGCUGCUGAGAAGAGUGAAGGUUGGAUGUGGGCCGGGCUCAGUCACCUCAGGGCUGUUUAUCCUUCCCAAGCAGCCGGUCAUGUGCCUGGCUAUUUGCAGCUGAGAGACAGAAGAAAGAACUCCGGGAACUAGAAAGUCGCUGCUUCCUGGAUUUGGGUGUGGAUUUGGAUCAGGUGACCUGACUGUUGCUUAGAGGCCUGGCUUCUGUCUUCACCAUUAGUUCUUACUACAGGGAAAGCAAGCAACAACCGGGAUGUCCACAGGUUCUCCCUAGGUCAAGUGGCCACCCCAAGGCCCAGGUCUGUCAUUUGGCUCAUAAACAAGGACAAGUACAGGAAAGUGGUACACUCUGCCCGUAGCUCUGACUCUUUUGUUUUGUUUUAGAUUUAUGUGUGUGUGUGUGUACACUAUUGCUGUCUUCAGACACUUCAGAAGAAGGUGUCAGAUAUCAUUACAGAUGGUUGUGAGCCACCAUGUGGUUGCUGGGGUUUGAACUCAGGACCUCUGGAAGAACAGUCAGUGCUCUUAACCUCUGAGCCAUCUCUCCAGCCCCGUAGCUCUGAGUCUUAGCACACCAGAGCCUAGGAAAUGUACAGGUCAUGAGUUGUUUGUUUUUGUUUUUGUUCAUUUUUUUGGUUUUUUUCGAGACAAGGUUUCUCUGUGUAGCCCUAGCUGUUCUGGAACUCACUCUGUAGACCAGGCUGGCCUCGAACUCAGAAAUCUGCCUGCCUCUGCCUCCCGAGUGCUGGG